AUGGAUGCCCGCGGCCCCGUCGUCCUGCACCUCCACACGCUGCUCGCACACGCCGACCUUGCUGCUGCCCACCCGGAGCCCUUUUGUCGUGCUUCAUUUUGGGUCGGCCAGAACGAGAACGCCAAGUACCGUCGCCGAAGACCCAUGUACAACUACUGUCGCCAAGACCCCGUGAACGUCUACACGACGACCAUCGAGUACCUCUUCGCGAGUACCACUACCAUCGCGUGGAUCCGCCAAGACCGUGGAGUAAAUGAACAAGUACUCCUACGCGGACGCAUUGUCUCCAGGAUUUUCGCCAAGUCCCCGCUCCGAUGA
rnacentral:rRNA from 1 species